CAAAACCCCCGAAUUAAAUUCUAAGUACAGUUAACUGUUUGAAGUGUAUUUUGCAAGGAAGGAGUGAAUGCCUUAGUGAAGACUCCUAAUUAUGUCUUUUCAUUCUGUGCAACCUGCUGAGUAUGGAUAGUUUUCAGACAUCCACUUUCAAGUUAGUCACAUGAGGUUGUGGUACAGACAGAAUUGCAGAAACUGUAGAUUAUUUUCCACUUCCCUAUCAUUGCAAUGAAAUUUAGUACUUCUAGAUCAUAAUUUUCUUACAAUUCUUAAUAAGUGAACACCAUGUGUGUAUCUGAAGAAAACACCUCUCAAGCAUCUUUGUUAGCUACAUUUCUUUUUGCAAACUUUUGAUAUCUUUCCUGCACUUGUGAAAUUAAAGUUGUUGAAGAAAUUGUCAGUUGGCAGUAAGUAUGGUGGUAACCCAAUUUAACCACUGCAAUUUAGAGAAUGGAAGGUGAUUAAGUCAGCCACAUAGAGUGAAGUACAUGGAGGAAAGGGAACGUUUUUGAACUCACUGUUGCUUUUUCACGAAGACUAGCAUUUACUCCUAGCUCCAUAAAAUUACAUCAGAAGUGAGACAGAUUUCUCAGUCUGUGAAAAUUAUUUUUUAAAAAAUAGCAACAGAAUGAAAACAUUAAAUAUGUAACUUUAAACUGUAGUCAAGAUUUCUAGCUGAAUUCUUAUCUCUGUAUUAAUUCAAAUAAAAAUCUUGGAUACAAAGAGACUCGUUUUAGAAUUAUCAGGACUAUGUUCUAACUGUGUAGCACAUUUUGAAGUCCUAGUACAUGGAACUCUUCCACUUAAACUACCUUUCCAUCUUAUAUGUAGUUUUAAGUGUAUCUGUAUCAUAUGGAUAUAUUGAUAUCUAUUUUAUACACUUAUAUUAAUGAGAUCUAAACUCCUGCUUCAUUUGAAGACACUAUGCUUAGGAGCAAAUGUUGCUUGCCUUCAAAGCUAAAUGGCUGAAGGAAAACAAGUUGCUACAUGCAUUAUUUUAGUGCCUAACUCAAGAGCUCAGAUGCUUAGUGGAAUUCACAGGUAUCACACAGAAUAAGAGCUCCUUUAUAUAAGGUAAGGGCAGAACUAUAUGCCUGUGAACAGGAUAAAAAAACCCCAACAAACUCAUCUCAGAAAGCAUGAGCUGCCUAAAAUGAGUAGUGGGGAACAGUGAGAAGAGGAUUAUGUAGUAAAUCCUUCUCCUGAAAGCAUUUAGAAAUCUAAUUCUGGUUUUCUGUGCGCACAGAGAUAAUUGAAUACUCCCCUGUAAUUACACAAAAAAAUACUGCUUUUUCAAAUGCUUGUAAUUCUACAGUUUGUCAGCAAGAGGAUGGUGAUAUGUAUUCAAUCUCAGUCUUCACCCAAACAUUUCUCUGGAAUUAAAAAUUGCAAUUUAUUUAUUGAUGGUACAGAUAUCUGUACCAUCUGAUUACAUAUCUGUAAUCAGAUUAUUACAUAUUUACAAUAUAUGUAAUAUAUACAGUAUAUUAUAAUAAUACAUCAUAUUACAUAUCUGUAAUCAGCCAUACGUCAUUGCAGUAAUGAAGCCAUUUCUGUAGUAAGAUGAGGAAAACCACUUUUGGAGUAUAAGCAGUGUGAUUCCGUUUCCAUUUUUCUGGCCAAAUUCAAUUUUUGUGAAGAGAAGCUUACAUCUACCCAUAUACGAGUAAUCUGCCAUUAACAGACUGGUUUUAUAGGGAAAUUCCGAUGUUUAAAACAACAGUAUGACUCACCAUUGUCUUGAUACAUUUUAAUACUGGCACAUCUCUGUUACUAUAAGGAGCCCCUACGCCAUUUGUCAUGAAUGUUUCAAGGUAGUGAGUUUUCUCCAGUUAUACAGAUUGGUUAAAAGAUCUUUCGAUUUCCUCCCGUGCUAUACUAAAAUUCUUUAGAGAAAUGUGUCAUAUAGGGAAGCAAAAUAUGGUCAUAACAAUAGCCUAAGAUCUCUCACUGUGUUGAUCUCUCUUGUAACAUUAAAUGAAAAAAGCCCUCCCUAACCAAAACGUUGAUCCUAUGGUCUGUAUUUUUCUUGAAUUUCUCUUCAUGAUGUUCAAUAAAUGUAUUGCUAUUC
ensembl:lncRNA